GACGAACGCUGGCGGCGUGCUUAACACAUGCAAGUCGAACGGAAAGGCCUGCUUUUGUGGGGUGCUCGAGUGGCGAACGGGUGAGUAACACGUGAGUAACCUACCCUUGACUUUGGGAUAACUUCAGGAAACUGGGGCUAAUACCGGAUAGGAGCUCCUGCUGCAUGGUGGGGGUUGGAAAGUUUCGGCGGUUGGGGAUGGACUCGCGGCUUAUCAGCUUGUUGGUGGGGUAGUGGCUUACCAAGGCUUUGACGGGUAGCCGGCCUGAGAGGGUGACCGGCCACAUUGGGACUGAGAUACGGCCCAGACUCCUACGGGAGGCAGCAGUGGGGAAUAUUGCACAAUGGGCGGAAGCCUGAUGCAGCAACGCCGCGUGCGGGAUGACGGCCUUCGGGUUGUAAACCGCUUUCGCCUGUGACGAAGCGUGAGUGACGGUAAUGGGUAAAGAAGCACCGGCUAACUACGUG
rnacentral:rRNA from 1 species